GACGAACCGUGCGAACGUUGUUCGGAUUCACUGGGCUUAAAGGGCGCGUAGGCGGGCGGUCAAGUCAGGGGGUGAAAUCUUUCGGCUCAACCGGAAAAAGUGCCUUUGAUACUGGCCGUCUCGAGGGAGGUAGGGGCAUGCGGAACUUCCGGUGGAGCGGUGAAAAUGCGUAGAUAUCGGAAGGAACGCCGGUGGCGAAAGCGGCGUGCUGGACCUCUUCUGACGCUGAGGCGCGAAAGCCAGGGGAGCAAACGGG
rnacentral:rRNA from 1 species